rnacentral:sRNA from 1 species
GCCAUCGCGCACUGGGGCUCCGGGCGGCUGGGACCGGCCUGGGGUAGCUGCGCAGCAGGUCUGUGGGUUCUGGCACCACCUGAGCCCACUGGGCAUCUGGUCAUCCCUGGCACCUCUCCUUUGGAGCCACCUUGUCCCUGGCUAGACAGUCACAUUUUCCAGUGCCGUUCUGGAAAGAUGCUGCCUUUGGAGAAGGCGUUUGCCUCCCCCAGGAGCUCCCCAGCCCCGCCGGAUCUGCCCACGCCGGGGUCAGCAGCCGGAGUCCAGCAGGAAGAACCCGAGACCAUCCCUGAGAGGACCCCUGCUGACCUGGAGUUCUCCCGCCUGCGUUUCCGGGAAUUUGUCUACCAGGAGGCUGCCGGGCCCCACCAGACCCUGGCCCGGCUGCAUGAGCUGUGCCGCCAGUGGCUGAUGCCUGAGGCGCGCUCCAAGGAGCAGAUGCUGGAGCUGCUGGUGCUGGAGCAGUUCCUGGGCAUCCUGCCUGAUAAGGUCCGGCCCUGGGUGGUGGCACAGUACCCUGAGAGCUGCAAGAAGGCAGCCUCCCUGGUGGAGGGCCUCGCUGAUGUCUUGGAAGAGCCAGGGAUGCUGCUGGGCUCCCCUGCGGGCUCAUCCUCAAUUCUUAGUGAUGGAGUGUACGAGAGGCACAUGGACCCUCUGCUGCUACCAGGCGAGCUCGCGAGCCCCAGCCAGGCCCCUGGAGCUGGGGAGAUCCCGGCACCUUCUGAGACACCCUGGCUUUCUCCGGACCCCCUGUUUCUGGAACAGAGGAGGGUCAGAGAAGCAAAGACCGAAGAGGACGGCCCUGCCAACACCGAGCAGGUGGGUGGGCACGAGUCCCAGGGUGAGGGUCCUUGGCCUCAGCUUAGAGGCAUCCCCCUCCCCAUCACCAGUGCUCAGCAGAGGGCUGUGGCCCCAAACGUCCACAGCGCUGAGGCCCACAACCCACCCUGGUGGGAGCGUGAGGGCGGAAUCUUUGUGGUGUGAAGGGGGCUGCCUCCUGCAGUGCACCUGGGUUAGAGUCCCUGGCCAGGGCUGGCUCCUA